AAAAUUUAGCCAACGUCCAUUCUCUGUGAGCAACUCCAGCUUCUCCCGACUAUACUGCAACCCGGUGAACGUGAGGGUUUCAACUGCUAAAGCUUGAGGCCGCUGGCGACAAGGGGAAUCUGAACGAUGAGGCCGACAACGGACUCAUCCAAUUGCUCGUUCAGCGGCUUGCUAUCUCUAUUGCUGCUGCAACUCAUUGUCCGGCAUGACCUCAAAAUGGCGACUAAGGGAACAGACCUCGCUGGGUCGAGAACCGGCAACAACGCACUGACCAGUUCUGCCUUACACACACGACCGGCCACGAGCCAAAGAGGAGAGGAAAAAGGACGCGCCAUCAUGAGGCAGCUUGAGGACGACGACGUGAUGAGACUGGAAUGGAGUGAAACGCUACAACGGCCUCGACCUUCUGGACCAGUUAGCUCGCUUGGCUUGUCCGGACAAGUCCUUUGACCCAAUACGCGUACACACGUACCAGGCCACGAACAUCACCAUGGUCAUCACAGUCAUGAUCAUACCCCUACCCAUUAGCAUCAGCGCAGCGCAGCGCAGUGGUAUGGCCAGUAACAACGGCCUCAAUCAGCAAUCGAGAAAGCAACUUGUCCAAUCGCUUUGUCUUGUUGUCGUUAUAUCACAAAAAGGUAGUUCAUCGUCAUCAUUUCAGUCUUCUGUCAGUAGUAGCAGGAAAAAUAUGAGCGCUGAUUCCGCAUAAAAAACGAGGAACGAGGGAGGUCUCGUCUUGUUACAUUGCUUUUGCAGGCUUCACUACGAGAAGCGAUUGCCUUAAUACACUAUCACUACUUUUAAACGAAUUCAGUUGAAAAAAUCUUGUUGGCUCUUCUGAAGUAAGUUGACGAUCAAUACAUCAUAAAUAUUAUGGAAGUCGGGUGCACUGCUGUUAUAUAAAAUUAUGUUUACGGACAUUGAAAGCACUAAGUGCUGGAUCUUCCCGAAGAUUAUCAGGGUUGACUCCUUAGGAGUUAUUCUGACCCCUUCCUAUCGUCACUUGCUGCGAACCUAGAAGACUGCUUCAUUUGGCGGAUAUAGCACAUUGAGUAUUCUGAAUUGGCUCAGGCAGAUGGAAAAAGAGAAAAGGGUCCUCAUCAACGACAACAUUCAUGUUUAGAAGCUUACAUUCAGCUUGCCGUAAUUAUAUAUUUGGUAAUCUAGUAAAGAAACGCACCUCCGCUUUCGGUUGACUGAAUAGGAAGGACUUCUUGAGUUCGUUGUAAGCGAUACAUAAACUGUAAUGAAUCCUGUCUGAAGUGGCGGCUUCGGAGUUGUCACAGCCGCGGUAAGAACAGUUUUCCUAUCGGAGAUUUGAACUCAGACUCGCUCGUACGUUUUCAACCGUAUAAAUCUACUCGAUCAAUUGUAUUGUACCAUCUCAAUGAAGUACUGCAAAAGUAUAAUACUCUACAGGUAUCUAUUGUGCGAGAAUUGGUAAGUAAUCAUCGGUAAGUUGAGAAAUUAUAUUGAAUAAGUAUUUCGAGUUUGUUAACCUAGAGUGCUCGACGCGGUAUCGUUCAGAACCGGUUCAGACGAAUAUACACAAUUAAAAGUUUGAUCUAUUCAUUUGCCCACGGAUCUGUGAGUUAGCACAAUGGAGUUUUCCUGAGAAACCCGAUUAAGUCGAAUUAGCAUAAUUAAUGAGGUAGCUGUUGCAUGUUGAUAUGUACUACCAACUAAAGAGAUUUAACACAAGAGUUAGCAGAUUACUGGCAUUAAGUGAGCACAUAUACUUAAAAAGUUUUUUUCCGUUAAUAACGAAAAUAACUCAUGUCCCUUUGUCGAAUAAACUACAUAAUAACUAGGCGAGAAAUAAAAGUAAAUUUAAAGUUGACUGUAUGUGGCUAUACGAUUAUUCUGACGAUCAAUUUCAAAUUAACGGCUAUUGUAAUUUUCAGUCUUCCAUUGUUUGCGCAAUAUCCGCUCAACGUCUAUCUGGUAAACAAGCAGAUUUUGUGCAUGUCAUUGCUUCGUUGAGUUCGCGCGAAGGUUUUCAGAAGAUUUGCUUCAGCAUGGUCGUCUUUUUGCUUACGUUAGCUGACCUAUGACCUGCAUUCGUAUGGAAGUAGCGAAACGAGAAAAACGCGGAGCUCGAAAGGACGUACGCAGCGGGAUGUUGACUGAGCGUUGAAAGUUCGGUGAGCCAACGGCUGGACUCCGCUUCUUUUAUGCAACAUGAACGUCGCCGUUUCGCCUAUCGAGUAUAGGGCAAUUUGCCAAAAGCCCCAAGCUGGUAAACAAAGGCGGUCUAAGGCAACCUUAGCACGAGUUUCACUACAAUUUUUUUUAAAUUUCGCAAGAGCGUUGCUUGCAAAUAUUUGCCUAUAAAGGGUAGAAGGCUUCCUAAAUGUUGGGUUUGGCUAAGUAAACUCGUUUCAACAUAAUGUUACGAUGAGAUUGAACGAAGAUUCGAGCGAGAAUAUGACGAAGAGCUGUGCUCUUCUCGCAUAAACUCUAAAAUUAGCAAAUACGGUUUGUACCAAACAUGUUUGUUGCAGCUUUACCUAACGAAACACAUACCUUUAAUUCGAAAUGUACGACGCUCAUUGGUGAUGCUUUCCCAUCCAAAGCUUCUAGCCACUUAUCUAGACGUCGUUGCUAUUGUGUUGUGUCAGUCCGAGUGACCCGUUCACAAUAUGGUAAGCUGUUACGUAUUUCAGAAAGCUGUCCGGUCUAGUUACCUAAUCUAUUGCAUCGCCAUGACGUCUGGCCGCAUGAAACCAUUACUGUUUUCAAAUUACAAAAGAAGACGUUGCAUUUAAAUUUAUUUCUGGCUAUAACUGUAUCGCAUCCAGACAGCUUACGGCAUCUGUUUAGAGGCGCAGGAUAACUUGUACAUGCACACGGUUGAUUGGCCUGAAUUCGUUCGUGCUAGAUUUGCGUAGCACCGCAUUCAGCACGCGGGUCAAAAUGGGGAUCGCGCCUCACUUACUGCUGCUACUACAGCCUCCAAGAGAUAGGCGCAAACUUCACCUUGCCACUAUCGUUCCCGUUGGGCCUAGUCGUCACAGUUCCAAAAAGAUACAGGCCGUCGUACAGUAUGGCUAUACGCCUGCGUCCUUUUACGUGUGCAUGGUUCGAUGAUCAACCUUUUCAGCCUUGCUACUUGCUGCUUGUUUGCCCCUGUUUGUCUGACCGACUUCCCAUCUACCAGGUUUUCCCGGUCCAGUCGCAGUGGUAGCAACAACUGCUUGUACUAACGCUAGCUAUAGGAGCAGCAGUGGAGGCGGAAUCAGCAGCGACACUUCCGGGCAAUUUAGUCCAGCUGCCGGCGACGACCAGACGAACGUACGUUCGAAUCAUUGUAGUACUUACAGUUUGAGCAGGCAACGAAUGCACCGCGACGGCCCGCACUAGUCAACAACGGACGAACUGCUAAAAUCGCCGCUGGUCACUGUUACAAGAUGGACAGUUUCCUUAACAGUCCUUAUCCAAUGCCGAUGAACCGAUCUCGCGUCGCAGGACUUGCAUCCUGCAGAUACAACGUCUAGAACUUCCCGUUUGCGAGGCGCAGUGACCAUGGAUUCCGUUCGUUUUCUAAAAUUCGAUACGCGGAGGAGGUGACGCGGUGAGUCCUCCAGGCAAACUGGUGGUGACACACUGUAUUAGCAAUGUGUUCCAGUUGUGAAUUAUACACUAUGGAACGACAGCCAAGGCAGCAGCAGCGGCGGGCAGAACGUGGAAAGGACUUCGAAGGAGAGAAGGGGUCGGUCUGGGGAUAGGCCUGAACGCCGGUCCGGCUCCUGCCUGUUUCGGCAGUUCACAGGUCCCAGAGGGUAUAGAUGGAAAUCGUUGAACGUGGGCAGUGUGAAGGCCUAUCUGCAUUGGUACCAUGGUCAUGCAAAGAAUGCAAGAGACAUGGAGCUUUUGGAUCGUCACAGUGACCCGGACUACACGAAACAAAUGAAGUACUUAGUACUCCUAUUUCUACAUCUGUUACUACUAAAACGGGAGUCUAGAGGUGGGGAAGGAGUUAAAUUGAAAUUGACGAGUGCCGGCCUUCCUAUGCCAUUAACAAAGGAGCGAUCGUGUACUGAAUUUGUAGUGAGAAAAAGGACAAGGCCGGUUGGUAUACAGUGAUGGUCAUUAGUGAUAAAUACUUGCUAUUACGGCCGCAGAACGCGGACUUUGUUAGUUGAGCCGAAUUUGACUAUUCCCGUAUAAAUAACGCAGGUUACGAUAUUUGCUUAAGUGUCAAUCGACCGAAUCCAGUUUGUUCAUUUGAAUCAAACCUAAGAAAUUAGGGUUUCUUUUAGGCUCCUUUUAGUACCUAGCAAAAUCUGACAACAUGUCUCAGCGAAACUCUUCGAGUGAAUUUUAUAGAACCUGGAAUAAUGUGGCAGCGCAAGCCUAACUGGAACGUAAUUGAUCAAUUCUAUUAACAUGCUAACUGUAAUAGACGAAUAUAUGAAAAAAAAAAAAAAAAAAGUUACCAAACUUAGAAAUAAGUUCCGUCGAUUUUGUUUUCCUCUAGUCUCGAUCCAAACGGAGCGUCGUGGAUCACGCUGAACACGGCCUCUUCACGCUUAAAUAUAGAUGAUCAUACGCCGUCAAGGUUACUGACAAAUUUUUCGAAAUCUGGUUCGAAAAAGAAUACACACUGUGCCCAUGUGUUUGAUUGUUUGACCCUCGUAAAGUAAUCGGAUUAGGUUGACUCUUUUGAGUCAGACGAGUUUCAUUUUGGGAAGAGCUGCGUCUGCGAUAAAGCCUCCUUUUUUCCUAAAGAGCAAAGCUUUUUUUUUUCCCUAUAAAAGGAAAUGUUAAUUAGGCCAAAUUGCCGGUUGUUUUUUGUGAUAUUCUUUAUAGCCGUCGAGAGUUUCCACAAAAUAUAUCUUAGAAAGCCAAGACUUACAGAGCAGGCACAAUACUGGAUUUGGAAAUAACUUAUAAUAUAAAACAUCUUAAUAUAAAACAUCUAAGUUUUAUAUUGUUACUGUUUAGCUGUGCAAUAGUGAUUUUUGCCGAUAUGAUUUGCAAUUAAUCACAUAUAAACUAUUUCAGCUAACUUUUUUUUCCUUACAAGAGGUAGGGGCGUGAUUCUCAACCUAUUCAAAUCGGAGAAUAGUCAUGAAGCUCGGAGCAUGUUGGCCUAUAUGACUGAUGUCCUUCGGUUAGAUGAAUACCUUUUUCGGAUGAUGAAAUUAAUUAAAAUGGAAAAGCAAUCCAGUACUUAAACGAUAACACUAUUUCUAUUGGAGAACAAUAAUUGGAGAGGAGGAGUUGAUUGGGGUUGAUUAAAAUUUUAAUUAAGUUUAAUUUUACAAUGUACGUUGUUUCAUAUCGGCAAUUUUUCAAUUAGGCUUAGCUGUUUUCCCGAUUAUAUCGAUAUGAAUAUGAUAAAUAAAAUAGGAGGCGGAAUUAUUGCAGCAAAGUAAGCAAUCGUCGCUCGAACAGGACAAUAGGACAACUGCAGUAGAAAACUAACGGAAUCAGUAAUGUUAAGUAAGACGAAGUUAAAAAAAUAUCAUUAUGUAUAGGGACAACAGAAUAGAUAUAACAGGAUUUCAAGAAAGCUGCAACUGAACGUACGGCCGUAACUUGGAAUCGGCUGAUGGGAUAACUGCAGCGUUCAUAAUUUACAUCAAUGCGAAGACGGAAUACAUGGUGCAGGUCAACUGCAACGGAACAAUGGCCGCUAAUAUAUUGACUAAGUGGUGCUGAAUUUUCAAUCAAACUAUAGUUUGUUUUUAGUUAGAUACGACGCCAACCUGUCUACCGCUAGUACUACCUACCCGUCUAUGGGAUCCGUCUUGAAUAAUCGUCUUUAUAUAGUUUUUUGUUUGAGAGGUAUGUUUUUUUGGCGAACGUUACCGAAAAAAAUAGCAGAAAAAUAGCAGACAGACAUAUACAUCGAGAUCUAUUGUGGGAAAUAUCCACAGCCAAACAAAAGCUAUCGCUGACCUGAAUCGAUAUACAACCAGUGCCUUAAUACCCAUACCAUGAAAAUGGCAAAAUAGGACAAACCUCGUACGGCAGUAGAGUGAGAAUGCUUGAACGUUCUAAGCGAAUUGCUAAUACGUGUUAAAUGGACAGUUACAACGGACAUCUUAGUAACACAAUUAGUAUAAAAACGAUUUUUUCAAAAAAAUACCAAAAAAUUAAAGAAACGUUCGUCAAGAACCACUUUCCCCGCGCUAAUUGUUGAGGCUAAUUGAUCUCAGUCAGCCCAGUAAAGAUGCAACACAUAUCCUUAUAGUUAAAUAGAUAUUUCAGCAGAGACAAGAAUGGUGAAACUUAAUUUUGGUAAUUGUUUAGAAUGAAAACAUUUUACAUGCAGGGCUACGCAGAGGAUACUUUUGCUACCGAUCGGGAACCCUAUGGACCAAAUUGAAACGUCACACAUACGUUGUAGGUUUCUAGUCUAAGAUGAAAUUUUAAUUUAACGUGGUGUGCUAUAGGAAGUUUUUUUUAUCUUUAUAGCACAUACCGAUACAAUCCACAAGAUGAAAUAAUAAGCAGUCACUACUGGAACACGGUAAUAGACUACAACUCUACUGUAGUCGAAUAGUUGAAAAUGUGUCGGUAAACAGAAAGGCUAUAGGUCUGCAAUCGAUCUGUUUAUGUUCAAACCUUUGAUCUCUGGUAUCUGAGUUUAUGUUAAAAGAGAUAUAGCGCCAAUCAGAUCCAUUUUUCUAUUAGCUCGGAUAGGGCAGCCGUUACGGACAAAUGACAGUGAAUGCUAUACGCGAGAGAUUUACUUGAAUAGUUUACAUGUACAAUAAUUCGUUUAUUGGCUUGCAUAGAAUAACUCAAACAUGAAACAAGAGGUCAUUGCGAGAAACCGGGACAUGCGUUCCGCGUGGAAUACGGUCUGUUGUAGCUAGCCUAAUAUAGAAUAGCGUGACUACCUUACAAUUGACAGCAUUUUCCUCUUCAUAUCAAUCAACGAAUUAGGCUGGGUCUAAUAGUGACAAGUUAAACUAGUUGAAUUAACAGCGACAUAGAUACGGGACGAGAUUAGCAAUCCGUUUAUCUACCCCACUCUAUCUGCGUGUACUCCUAAAACCCUGUAUCUAUAUGCAUGCGUUUAUACGACUCAAACGUACGCUAUAAAGCAGUCAGACACAACUUAUUUUUUCAGGGUCGAAACAGUUUUACUCGGAGAAGUAAGGUGGAGCCGACUAAAUGAAUACUUACCUGAGGAGUUCACUUUUCCCACAGACCGUAAUGUUAAUAUUGUAUGCAAUUGACCAUUACUUGCGUUUCACCGUCGCGAAAACAUUACAGUUAUUGAGAAUCUGUGAUUUUUUG